GCUAACUAAUACAGAUGUAGGUUCAUUGUAGGAAGACUGUGGAGUGUGGAGGGUGUGAUCAGAUACAGACACCUCAUCGCAUCACUUAAAAAUAGAAAUAAAUACUUAAAAGAGUAAAAAAUAAAUAAAAAAGGAAAAAAUAAAUAUUUGAAAAAUUCACAAGUCUUCGAGCCACAUGUAAGCCAGGUUGCCCGGAGAAUUAUUAAACUAAUUACAUAAUUAAUCGAUGAUUAAAUAUUAAUCAUGCCAACUAAACGAUACACUUCUUAAAAGUAGUCAAGAUUUUGGAAAAUGGGUUUUGGUGGGGAUUAUUAUAUAUCCAGAGGGCAAUUAUGUCAUUUUCAGAAAUUAGAAUUUCAAUUACAUGUUUCAUAAAAUAAUAUUUAAUGUCAAUUUUUAUUAUUCAGAAAUGAAAUAAAUAAUGUUCUUUUGCAAUGUGAGGCACUAAUUACCAAACUUUUAGCCAAGUCAGCAUGUCUUUGCCAGCUUAAUCAAGCAAAAAAUCACCAAUCAUGGAAAUCAAAAGCCAAAUAGAUUUUCUUUACAUGAUUAUAAAGAACAUGCAGCUCUUUCAUAAUUAAAUUAUACAAUUCAAUGGCUAUAAACUAAUACAGUCGAAACUUUCAAAAUUCCAUUCGUUUAGCAAAAAAUUAAAUUAUCGAACUAGUAUUUUAGUAUAUUUUUCGAAUCUUGCCAUUUCCCCUACUUCCCCAAUUUGUAACAUGAUUUAAAUUUCUAUCGAGUACUAAUUUAUGGAGGUUUUAUUCUACUUAAUCUCACAUUCUUAAAACUAAUUCAAUUAACAAAAAAAUAAGCAUAUGAAUUUGCUAUUUAGCUCUUCAAAAAAAAUUACUUAUUUAUUUAUUUGAAGGCCAAUUAUUAAUAAGUCAGUCAUCACUUGGACUGGUCUUUGGUUCAAUUUCCAGAGCAAAAAUAAUUUGUCACACAUAUAUGUCAGAUGGUAUAUAUAUACACAUAUAUACACACACACAGAGAAAGAACCCUACUUGCAUUAUUUCAAAUAUAUAUAUACAUAUAUAUAUUAUAUAUAAAUAAAUAUUAUUUAAUUUAAAUUGAAGCACUUACCACACAAAGUGGCCAUUAACUUGAGACAACAAGGCCUGUCUGAGUGCAUGGUUUUACUCUACCCAAUGCCAAAUCUUUAGCUCCUGUAAUUAAAAAAAAACACAUAACUGUGUGUUAAUUUUUAUGUAUUUCUUCAUAAUCUGAACAACACGAAAAACAAAAAGCCAAUACUCAAACCCCAAGACAAGUUCAAUACAGAUUAUAAAACUACUAGUACAAGAACCUUAGAAUAAUAUUACAUCAUUAAUUACACAGUCUGCAACUCCUUUUAAAGCAUUUAUUUCUAUUAUUUUAUUUUCAAAAUACCCCCUUAGAUCCAACCCACCCACACUUUAGAUUCUUACAGCUUGUGUUCAUUACACACACCCAAAAUAAAAAAUAAAAAAAUAGAUAGAUGGUCUGUCUGCAACUACAUGGAAAGAGGGUCACCCUUUUCUUGAUGAAAAUAAACCAGGUAAAAAAACACACAUAUAUGUAUGUAAAGAUAUGUAAUGUUUUUUUAUUUCUACAUAGUUUUUUUGAAAUAAUUGGUCUGAUUUCUGAUCCAUAGAUGAACAGUAAAAGGGUUUUCAGACUCUGGUGAGGGGAGGGGGACCCACAGUUGAAUUGAAGAAAGAAGAAGAUGAAUGAAUAUAUUCACAUGUGUGUAUGAGAAAUCUUAAUCUUACUCUUACAGACUGUUGCAUUCAUCUUCUGAUCAGAGUUCCCAGUUUCAACCACUCAUUGAACUCCACCUGUCAUAAUCAAACCAAGGUUAAGAAGAAAGAAAGGAAAACUUAAAAAAAGCCAAAAGUUCCUAUUUUUCUUGCAUUGCUUAAAAAAAGAUUGUUAGCAGGAAGAAAGUGUUUGAGGUGUGGGAGUUUGGGGGGCCGGGGCCUCCUCAUUCAUUCAUUAACAGAACAUGGGUGAAGAAGCAGAAAUCCCCACCGUUGAUUAUGACACCAAGUCACUUACGGUGAAGAUAUCUAAUUCCGGCAAGGAAACUCUCGCCGGCAACUCGUUGACGAAGAACCCAUCGGCGAAUUCGUCUCCGUACAACUCCCCACUUAUC
rnacentral:lncRNA from 1 species